ensembl:lncRNA
AUGCUUUUUAAAAACAAACAAACAACCCCCCCAACAAAGCUUAAAAAUACACAUUUGGACUCUGUAAAGAAGACCGACAUGGACAUGUAUACGAACCGCAGAGGGAAAGUGGUCCUUCUGGAAGAAGAUCACUGGACGUCAGUAACUCCAAAUCAGUUCCUCGGCGCAUUUGCGCCAUUUCCGCGUUUCGCCUGGAUUCAUCCAAACGCACCGAGGGACAGCUAUGAUGUGGUGUGCGAAAUCGUCUGGAGCAAAGCUACCCAGGUGAAACCUGGAAGAGGUCAAAGUUCACUGGAAAUCCAAGGGAGUAAAGACGACACUCCCUCAGUCAACAAGUCAAGUCACAGGGCUGAGAAGCAGCAGGAAGACACAGAUGAUUACACGCACUAUGAGGAGGACAAGAAGCAAUACCACACUGACUUCACCCUUCCUUGCCCUUAUCUCUUGGGCCGCAGACAUCACGGCCUAUCCAAGCCCGCAAGGGUGCUGAGCCCUGUGCUGGAAGUGGAGAUGAGGCAAAUUAAGGAAGAGGCGGGUGGAAACAGAAACUCGUCCUGUCGGGAGAGGGAUGUGCAAGACAAACAAAGGAGUGUUGAAAACUCUCUUCAGAAGAUGCAGGUCUCUCAAUCCAGCAGAGCAGGCACACAGAGCUCUGUACCUGCACCUCAACAUCUGGUGACAAAUCCUGUCUGCUUUGAAGGCCACACCCAACACCUGCCAGACAGAGAAGAUUCUCUACACCCUUUUAAACUACCCGGGGAUGAAUGUGGAAGCGAGAAAGAGCAGAAUGCAAGUAGGGGCUCAGAAAGCUACUCUAGUGAUGAUAGUGAUGCUGUUAGUCUACCUGGGGUGCGAAGUUGUGCCAAUGACAACAGCAAUAAUGACUCAGUGGUUAGUGCAAAAGAGGUGAAGAAAAAGGAAAUUCCAAGCUCGUCUGUUGAGCUGAGCUGCGACAAUGAGCAGGAUUCCUUUUUUACAGCUGAUGAAGACUUUCCUGCUCUCACCACCAUCAACGCUGGCAUCCCGCUAUCUCUCACAGGGCCGCCAGCCUUGGGGAAGAUAAAAGGCCAGUGGGAGAUUCCCCUUUCAUUCCACCCACAUGACAUACCCACUGUCACUUUGGCAAGUGGCGUGAAUGACCCUGUGCAGGCUUCCAUCCAAGGCAAACCAGAAGCACCUGAGGCAAACUCAAAAACCAAAGCACCACCAGCAGUCCCAGUGCAGAACGAGGCUUAUGACCUCUUGGCCGACUUCCCAGCCCUCCAGCCCCCAAAGAACCCUUUAGCGCUUGGUGAAUUGCGUCACAGGAAUCCCAAGACCAACGUUUCAAAGGGGAAAGGAGUUCUCACUCCUGCUCCAAGCCACUGCCAAAGCUCUAGGGGUUCCCAUGAGAGGAGAUUGGAAAAUUCGCCCCACGAGGUCUCCUCCAUCUGUGCAGGAGAUCAGAAAUCUGCUCUGGACCUUCAAACAUUUGGCACGGUCAGCCAUCGCAACUCUUCCACCAUCAGCUGUGAGCAACGGAAGGCCAACAAGCAGCCGCCGCCUAGAGUUGCAGGUGCAGAUGGCGUGGGUGUCAGUGCCAGGUCCUGGGCUAACGCUGCCAAGGCAGGCAUGAAGCAAGCAGCUGCCCCUCAGGAGAAAGCCAGACCUUGUACCUUUCAGCAGAUAGUUACCAUUAACAAAGCCAAAGCUGAAUAUGGUGUCACUCAAAAAAUCAACAAGAAAGCAACAGUUUUCCACCCAGGAUCAAAUCAGAAGGCGAUAACCUUGAAACAGUGCUGAUUUCACCCCUGCAACCAAAUCCACUUAGUUUGCAACCCUCCUGGCUAUCAGAGUGGGCGGGUUCUGACAGACUAGUGUUGUUCAAACCGAAUACAGCAAGUUGUGCACUUACCUGACAGAAGCAUCACAUUCGGUCACGACUGUCACUCUUGCUGCUCCAUUCCUCCCGGAGGAGCCACUGUGACUGAAGCACCGGUGAUAUAAAGAAAAUGACUAGACAAUAUUAUGUGACUGUUGUGAUCCUUUGGCGUAUCCUGAGUAAUUACUUUUAGACAGCUGGUGAUAUGAUGCAUACAGCAGGAAUGUCCAGGAGAGCCUGUUUUACCUGAAAUGAAGGUCCAUGCUGCUAGUGACUGUCUGAAUGAGGUCACCCAUUCUUUUAUUUUGGUGAAUUUUGGAUCUUUAAAACAUUGCACUGAAGAAAAAGGACCUAGAUCUCAGCCCGGCUAAACACCUAUGGGUGAUUUUUAGCAUGUCAGCACCCUCCGGCAUCAUCAUUGAACACCAUGAACGCAUAUGCCUUAAUGGAUAGAUCCUCCAUCCAUGAAGCUGUUUGGGCAUGAAGCUGUUUUGGCAGCACCUUUCUAAGACACCCAAGACUCCUC